AAUUAAUGAACUUGUUAUAAGUAUUUACUUUGAAAGUAAAUUAAAGAGAUUUAAAUUCUCUAUUAAUUU
rnacentral:tRNA from 1 species